AGAAAGAGAAAGCGUGAGAAGGAGAGCGAUAGCGAUUCAGAAGAAUCAAGUUCAGAUGACAGCAGUAGUUCAAAUGAUUCCGAGUCAGAUUCAGAUUCAGAUAUGUUCAGUCCUUCACAGGUUUUGAAGAUGAAGGGAGAAAUGGUGCAGGUCGACCCCAGCAGUUUUUUCGGACAGGGCCCUCAAACAACAGAUACCAGUUUGGGGGCCACAAUUACAGAGGACAACAGAGCCAGAGAGGCAGAGGUUCAGCAAAGUUUCCUCUUUCCAGAAAGACAGAAAAUCAGUAGAAAUGAAGAGUGAAGAGACCCUAUGAGUCAGAGAGCUGCACAGAAAUGUCCUGGAAAAAAUGUUAUACCAGUAUUGAAAUUAUUAAAGGAUUGAAAUAAUAA